rnacentral:lncRNA from 1 species
UCUUCCUUUUUUUUUUUUUUUUUUUUUUUCUGUUCUUAAUUCUUUUCCUUAACUUUACCUUCCAGAGAGCUUACAGGUAAAUUGCGUGCACAAGUAGUGGCAAGUGCAGGGACUUGCACGAUACGGUGGAGGGAAUGGAGGCCAUUCAGAGGGACCUUGACAGGCUGGAAAGCUGGGCUCGGGUGAACCUAAUGAGGUUCAAUAAGGCAAAGUGCAAGGUUUUGCACUUGGGCCGGAAGAACCCCAGGCACCUGUACAGGCUGGGGGGAGUUGUCCUUGAGAGCAGCUCGGCAGAGAAAGACCUAGGGGUCCUGAUAGAUGAGAAACUUAACAUGAGCCAGCAGUGCGCUCUGGCAGCCCGGAAAGCAAAUGGGAUCCUGGGCUCCAUCAGGAGAGGGGUGGUCAGCAGGGAUAGGGAGGUGAUUGUCCCUCUCUACUCUGCUCUUGUGAGGCCCCAUCUGGAGUACUGUGUUCAGGUGUGGAGCCCUCAGUACAAAAAAGACAUGGAGAUUUUGGAAAGGGUCCAGAGGAGGGCCACGAAGAUGAUCAGGGGGCUGGAGCACCUCCCCUAUGAGGACAGGCUGAGGGAGUUGGGUUUGUUCAGCCUGGAGAAGAGAAGGUUGCGGGGCGACCUCAUUGCAGCCUUUCAAUAUCUGAAGGGAACUUACUCCCAGGAGGGGAGUAAACUCUUCAUAAGGGCUGAUAAUAGCAGGACACGGGGAAAUGGUUUUAAGUUAAAAGAGGGAAGAUUUAGGUUGGAUGUUAGGGGGAAGUUUUUUACUAGGAGGGUGGUUAGGUCCUGGAACAGGCUGCCCAGGGAUGUUGUGGAUGCCCCGUCCUUGGAGGUGUUCAAGACCAGGUUGGACGAGGCUCUGGGCAACCUGAUCUAGUAAAGGUGUAUGUUUGGUGGCCCUGCUAGGCAGGGGGGUUGGAACUACAUGAUCCUUGAGGUCCCCUCCAACCCAGGUCAUUCUGUGAUUCUGUGAUUCUGUGAUUCUGUGACUAUUUAGGAAGCCUGCUCCACAGAGCAGCUGGCAGUUCUUCUGCUGAGUGCUGUGAUGUGGUUUGUCUUU